rnacentral:tRNA from 1 species
GGUGCCAUAGCUCAGAUGGUAGAGCAAAGGACUGAAAAUCCUUGUGUCCCCGGUUCGAUUCCUGGAGGCACCACAA